AGUGUAGGUAAAUUGCUCAAAUAGGAAUGCAAACCAUUUUAUAGUGGUUCGAUCGUCGCGACCUACAUCUACUCCACCGAUUCCUCUUCCGUCGAUGUAAUAUCCCCUACUUUUAAAAAUAUAUUAAUAAGGAUUUAUAUGUAAAUUGGGGGACCUAUAUGUAAAUAUAGAAAUUACAAGGACUAAACUGCUAAGUUGCAAAAAGAAAAAAAAAAAAAAGAAAAGGAAAAACCGAAAAUUCGGUAUUAUCCCACCGCCUCCCACGCACUCUGUUUCUUUCCAGAAACAGAGAGAGCGGUGGGGCGUGAGGAGAAGAAGGAGAGUGGUUGAAGAAAAGAAGAAGAAGAGGGAAAAGAAGAGAGGAGGAAGAAGAGAGGAAGAAGAGAAGAAGAUGAAGAAGAAGAAGAAGAGGAGGUGGCUGCAGCGAGGGCUGCAGCGAGAAGAUGUGGGGCGUGGGGAGAAGAAGAGAGGAAGAAGAGGGAGAAGAGAAGAAGAAGAAGAAGAAGCAGAAGAAGAAGAAGAAGAAGAAGAAGAAGAGAGGAUGAUAGCUGCGGCAAGGCUGCAGCGAGGAGGUGUGUGGGGUUGGGGAGGAAAAGGGAAGAGGAGAAAAAAAGAAGAUGAAGAAGAGGGAAAAGAGAGGGAAGAGGGAGAGGAGCGAGAGGUGGCAGCAGCUAGGGCUGCAGCACCUCUGUUUCCUGCAGGUGGAAACAGAGGAGAGGUGGGGCGUUCGAAGAGGAGAAGAAGAAGAAGAAGGAAGAGAAGAGGAAGAGGAAGCAGGAGAAGAGGUUGUGAUACCUCUGUUUCCUGCAGAGGAAACAGAGGAGAGGGUGUGUGUGACGUCGGGGAGAAGAAGGGGAGGAAGAAGAAGAAGAGAAGAAGAAGAAAGGAAGGAGAGGAAGAAGAGAAGGGAAAGGAGGAGCUGCGGCUGCGGCGGUGGCAGCUGCAGCUGGAAGAGAAGGAGAGGAAGAGAUGGUGAGGAAGAAGAGAAGAAGUAGAAGCGGGUGAAGAGGCGGCACCUCUGUUUCCUGCAGGAGGAAACAGAGGAAAGGAGGUGCUGUUCGUCGGGGAGAAGAAGGGGGCUGCAGCUGCGGCGAUGGCAGCUGCAGCUGGAAGAGAAGAAGAAGAGGAAGAUGAGCAGGGGAGGAGGGAGAGGUUGCGGCCGUGGCUGCGGCCGCGACUGCAGCAGUUGCAGCGGGGAGAGAAGAAGAAGAAAGGAAGGAGAAGGAAGAGGAGAAGGGAAAGAAGUAGCUGCGGCUGCGGUUGUGGCAGCUGCAGCUGUGGCAGGGAAAGAGGAAGAGAAAAAGGAAAGGAAGAAGAAGAGAAAGGGAAGGAGAGGAAGAAGAGAGGAAGAGGAGAAGGGGCUGCGGCUGCGGCGAUGGCAGCUGCAGCUGUGGCUGGGAAAGAAGAGAAGGAAAGGAAGAAGAAGAGAAAGGGAAGGAGAGGAAGAAGAGAGGAAGAGGAGAAGGGGUGGCAGCUGCGGCAGUGGCAGCUGCAGCUGGAAGAGGAGGAGGAAAUAGAGCAGGGGAGGAAGAAGAGGCUGCGAGUGUGGUGGCUGCGGCCGUGGCUGCGACUCCGGCUGCGGCUGCGACGUUGGCUGCGGUAGCUGCGGCAGCGGUGGUGGCUGCAGUAGCUGCAGUAGCUGCUUUUGGGAAAGAGAAAGAGUAGGAACGAGAGAAGGGAAGAAGGAAAUAGUGCAGUGGAAGGGGGCUGCGGUUGUGACCGCAGUUGCGAUUGUGGCAGCGGCAGCGGCGGCGGCUGUGGCAGCUGCGUUUGGGAAAGAAAAAGAAGGAAUGAGAGUAAGAGAGAGAGCAGGUGACUGUGCCUCGAUGUUCGACACGUGAUGUAGUUACGAAGAAAGGAAGAAAACGGGAGCACAAAACGAAACAGAGAGAGGACACGGAGGAAAAGUAGAAAGAUUGGACUGGCACCUUCCUUGGAUAUUCAGAUCAAAAUAUUUGAAAGGUCAGCUUGUCACUCUUCGAGAUGUUUGAUUUGGGCUGAGGCAGUGGAUAGCUAUUCAGAAUUAUGGGCAAGUCCUGUUGGUUGUUAUGCUAUUGUUGUAUAAGCAUAUUUUGUAUGUAAUGAAUUGUUCUGAUGAUCGAAAUGGAUAUACUGUGUAAAAGUGUUAGAAGAUCUCUCUUAUUUGGAAUUUCGGAAUGUUAAGUCUAAUUUAUGACGAUAUGAACUUGUGGUGUAUAGUUAGAGUUCUGAUUGUAUAAUUUAUUUAGCUUGUGGAUUUAUAAAUGUUGUUCAUGUUUGUCAA